rnacentral:rRNA from 1 species
ACGAACGCUGGCGGCGUGCUUAACACAUGCAAGUCGAACGGAAAGGCCCUGCUUUUGUGGGGUGCUCGAGUGGCGAACGGGUGAGUAACACGUGAGUAACCUGCCCUUGACUUUGGGAUAACUUCAGGAAACUGGGGCUAAUACCGGAUAGGAGCUCCUGCUGCAUGGUGGGGGUUGGAAAGUUUCGGCGGUUGGGGAUGGACUCGCGGCUUAUCAGCUUGUUGGUGGGGUAGUGGCUUACCAAGGCUUUGACGGGUAGCCGGCCUGAGAGGGUGACCGGCCACAUUGGGACUGAGAUACGGCCCAGACUCCUCCGGGAGGCAGCAGGGGGGAAUAUUGCACAAUGGGCGGAAGCCUGAUGCAGCAACGCCGCGGGCGGGAUGACGGCCUUCGGGUUGUAAACCGCUUUCGCCUGUGACGAAGCGUGAGUGACGGUAAUGGGUAAAGAAGCACCGGCCAACUAC